rnacentral:rRNA from 1 species
GACGAACGCUGGCGGCAUGCCUAACACAUGCCAGUCGAACGGAGAUUAUUUCGGUAAUCUUAGUGGCGAACGGGUGAGUAACGCGUGGGCAACCUGCCCUCUAGAUGGGGACAACAUCCCGAAAGGGGUGCUAAUACCGAAUGUGACAGCAAUCUCGCAUGAGGAUGCUGUGAAAGAUGGCCUCUAUUUAUAAGCUAUCGCUAGAGGAUGGGCCUGCGUCUGAUUAGCUAGUUGGUGGGGUAACGGCCUACCAAGGCGAUGAUCAGUAGCCGGUCUGAGAGGAUGAACGGCCACAUUGGGACUGAGACACGGCCCAGACUCCUACGGGAGGCAGCAGUGGGGAAUCUUCCGCAAUGGGCGAAAGCCUGACGGAGCAAUGCCGCGGGAGUGAUGAAGGAAUUCGUUCCGUAAAGCUCUUUUGUUUAUGACGAAUGUGCAGAUUGUGAACAAUGAUCUGUAAUGACGGUAGUAAACGAAUAAGCCACGGCUAACUACGUG